AAUCUACAUACAAAUUCGACCAAAUAACAACCAAAUAAAGGGAAACUAAUCACUUACCACAAGGAACGAAGAUGGAGCUUCGAUUUCGACAAAGAAGGAAGAAGAAACGAAGCGGUCUCGACUUUAGGGUUUCAGACAAGAGAGACAAAGAGAUAGUUGAGACACAAACGAACAAGGAAGAACGAAGAUGGAUUUUCGAAUUAGAUGGAGAAUAAACAAGGAAGAACGAAGAUGGAUACUCUAGGGUUUCAAUCUCCGAUUUCGCAAUAGAGAGUGUCGCAAGGGGAAGGUUGGGGGAGAGACAGACCCGAUGAUUGAAAAUUUUGGAGAAGAGAAUGUUGAGUAAUUCAAAACGACAUCGUUUUGGUUUAGAUGGGUCGGGUUUUAGGGUUUGUAUUGUAUGGGUCGGAUCUUUUUGGUUGAAUCUUGUAAAUAACUAAAUUAUUUUAGGGCAAUCCUGUCUUUAGCCACAUUUUCUAUUUAAAAAAAAUGAAAAAAAAAUUAUAUUAUAAUAAAAGGAUAAAUGGAGAUUUUUUUGGAGGGUAGAGGUCAUAUGGAGUUAUGCUCCCAAAAGAAUCUACUGUUCUCUUUUUUAUUUUUGAAAAUCAAAUAAAUUAACUCAGUCCAAUUCUCUCCCCGCUUCGACGAGAUCGCGGAGGAUUAACAAAGAAUCAGUAACGAUAAUCAAGCUUCAUUCCAUGGCACCCAGAUGGAAAUGGAAAGGUGCUGAAGCCAAAGCUCUUGCGGAACCAAUUUCAAACUCAGUCUCAGAGCUCCAACUCUCUCUAGCCAAAACAGAGACAUCCGGUUCCCUUUCGAGUUGCAACGUGCUUCUAGCGGUUGAGCCUGAGCAAGCUGAGCUACUCGACCGCUGUUGUUUUGGCAGACUCGUCCUAUCCGCUGAGAAAGACAAGAAAUGUAUUCAGUUAUCCUUUGAAGAAGCUUUCUAUUUGCUUUACAAUCUCAAAUGCAUCAAAAUCUACCUCCAAGGCCGUUGCUUGGAGAACGAAGUCGACACUUGGAUGUACAUGAAAUCACAAAGACCAAACUUCCCGAUAUUUUUCAAACCUUAUUCACAUUUACGGUCCAAGAACUGGGUUUUGAGAUCCGGGUUGCAAUACGGUGUGCAUUUCGUGGCAUACCGUCACCAUCCAUCUCUUGUCCACUCUGAAUACUCUGUUUUGGUUCAGUCUGGUGAUAGUAAUCGGUUAAGAGUGUGGUCAGAUGUCCAUUGUGCUGUUCGUUUAAGCGGCAGUGUUGCCAAGACGUUAUUGACUGUCCAUGUGAGUGGUAACUCUAAAAAAGAGGAUUUGAAUCUACCUUUGUGUUUGGAGAACUACAGAGUGGAAGAGCAAACUAUUUGUAGAUGGAGCCCAGAACUCAAUCGUGAAGAUGAAACCACAAAUCCAAAACCAAAUGCUACCACUAGCUAUGGAUAAGCAGGUUCAUUUGAAUAGAAUAGUCUCAAGCAAAAAAAGAAGCAGUACAUUUGUUAUAAAAUCAGAUGUUUCGACACAGACACAAUCCAACGAAUCUCUAUGCAAACAUAAGACAUUAGUAAGAAGUGCGAGAAAAGAUUUUGUUUCUUCCUUAAGAUGUUCAUUUGCUGUAUUGAAUAUUCAUGAGCUCUCUAUACAAUUGUUGGUGGGUCAGGCUAUACAUUGAAGAAGCAAAGAAGAGGAUGAAAUGGAUCUCCAGAUGUUCCCAAGAAGCUGUCUCCUCGUGCUGCUCGGCCACUAAAGUUAGCAGCGCUAGAGACAGACUCUUCUUCAUCUGCUAUCUCAGCUAAUAAUAGAAUACCAAAGGACACAAGUCCAAAAGUUUCAGACCGUAAACCUUCACCAAGUCCUUUCUCCGAGAAGAAGAGGCCGAGCAGAAUAACGGAGCUUGAGUCGCUAGUCUCACAGCUUCAAGGGGAGCUGAAGAAGGCGAAACAUCAAGUCAGUGUGUCUGAGACAUCAAAGAAGCAAGCAAAGCAAGAAGCAGAAGAGUCCAA